GACAGAGGAGCCAAGCGUUGUCCGGAUUGACUGGGCGUAAAGCGCACGCAGGCGGUCGCGCGCGUGGGGUGUGAAAUCUGGCCGCUUAACGGCCAGGCGCCAUCCCAUACGGCGCGACUGGAGCCUUGCAGAGGGCGGUGGAAUUGCCGGUGUAGUGGUGAAAUGCGCAGAUAUCAGGAAGAACACCCGUGGCGAAGGCGGCUCUCUGGGACGGUACUGACGCUGAGACGCGAAAGCGUGGGGAGCGAACAGG
rnacentral:rRNA from 1 species